UACGAAGGGGGCUAGCGUUGCUCGGAAUCACUGGGCGUAAAGCGCACGUAGGCGGACUCUUAAGUCAGGGGUGAAAUCCUGGAGCUCAACUCCAGAACUGCCUUUGAUACUGGGAGUCUUGAGUUCGGGAGAGGUGAGUGGAACUGCGAGUGUAGAGGUGAAAUUCGUAGAUAUUCGCAAGAACACCAGUGGCGAAGGCGGCUCACUGGCCCGGUACUGACGCUUAAGAGCGAAAGCGUGGGGAGCAAACAGG
rnacentral:rRNA from 1 species